GCCAUCAAAUUUCUUUUUGUUUAGAAAUUUUGAAGUUUCUGACAUACUCUUUGUAAGAAUUUCAAAAUUCUCAUCAGUGGAACAUUGACAGUAUGUAAUUUCAGCAUAUUUUCUUCUCUUUACUGCCUCAGUACAUUCGUUAUCCCACCAAGGAGGAGAAGGAAUAAAACCCAAAGAGCUAUUUUUACUUGGAAAUAUCUCAUUGGCAACCUCAAUAAAGAUUCUUGCUAAAGAAUCUGCACACUGAGAUUCUGUACCUGGAUUAAUUUUUGGAAGUGUUGGAAAUGAUAAUAAUAGUGGGAAGUGAUCACUACCAAAAGUAGAUCGUAAUGGAUCCCAGGACAAAGAAAAAGCAAAAUUAGGUGUAGCGACUGUUAAAUCUGGAGCACUUGGGCCCUCGUCAGGAUGAGAACGUCGUGUAGGACGACCAUCAUUUAAUAUACACAAAUUCACUGAAUCAAAUAUAUCUAUUAAUGUGUUACCAUAACUAUUAGAAGAUAAGUAACCCCAGGAUUCAUGGCGACAGUUAAAAUCACCAAGGAUCAUAAAAGGCUUCGGAAGAAUGGAAAUAAUAUCUUUAAUUUCAUUUAAGAUUGCAGAAGAAGGAUGGGGUAUAUAAAUAGAUACAUAACAGAUAUUUUCAACUAAAGCAGCAAUAAUAGAAAAAUCAUUACUGUGAGAAGGAAUAGAGAAGAGAGAAAAGGAAAGAGGGUGUUUCACAAGCAUGGCUACUCCGCCAUGCCCAUCCACACGAUCUUCUCUGAGACAUGAAUAACCACGAAUCUUAAAUAAAGAUCCUGGUUUCAACCAUGUCUCUUGAAGAGCACAGAUAUAAGGUUUAUAUUUAUUUAAUAAAUAAAUAAGAUCACUUUUUUUAGGAGUGAUGCUUUGACAAUUCCAUUGAAGAACUUUGUCCAUUAUUUGGUUUAUAAAUUUGAGUAAUUGCAGAAACUAAUAAGGCAGCGUUGGACGGUGAAAAUUCAUUCGAUUGACUAAGAGAUUUUAUAAGAGAAAUAAUUAAAUCAAUUACUGAGGAUUCCAAA